GGGCCCAUAGCUCAGUCGGUAAGAGCGCACGCCUGAUAAGCGUGAGGUCAGUGGUUCGAGUCCACUUGGGCCCACCA
rnacentral:tRNA from 1 species